rnacentral:rRNA from 1 species
UGGGGAAUAUUGCACAAUGGGCGCAAGCCUGAUGCAGCCAUGCCGCGUGUGUGAAGAAGGCCUUCGGGUUGUAAAACACUUUCAGCGAGGAGGAAGGUGGUGAACUUAAUACGUUCAUCAAUUGACGUUACUCGCAGAAGAAGCACCGGCUAACUCCGUGCCAGCAGCCGCGGUAAUACGGAGGGUGCAAGCGUUAAUCGGAAUUACUGGGCGUAAAGCGCACGCAGGCGGUUUGUUAAGUCAGAUGUGAAAUCCCCGGGCUCAACCUGGGAACUGCAUUUGAAACUGGCGAGCUAGAGUCUCGUAGAGGGGGGUAGAAUUCCAGGUGUAGCGGUGAAAUGCGUAGAGAUCUGGAGGAAUACCGGUGGCGAAGGCGGCCCCCCGGANGAAGACUGACGCUCAGGUGCGAAAA